rnacentral:lncRNA from 1 species
CAUAAAAUUGAAUCUUAUGAAUUAUCUCCCCUAUGAAGCAAAUAAGCUGUCAUAUUAAGAUGAAAUUCCACAAUGUUCUUCAUUUGAGUGAAAAGUCUUUCAAAUGAAUUACAUUACAAUAGCCAAAGGAGUAGGUCCGGUAAGGACCGAUUUUGGCCUCAAAUUUCAGUUUCAUCUGACGAAAGAUUUUGACCACUUUUUAAACACUUAAGUGUCUAUUUCAUAUGACGCAAUUAAUUUAUGUGAAAGAUUUUAACUUAUUUAGUCAUUAAAAACGAUCCGAUUCAGGCUCAAAUAUGAGAAAUCUACC